CGUAGGGUGCGAGCGUUGUCCGGAAUUAUUGGGCGUAAAGAGCUCGUAGGCGGUCUGUCGCGUCGGUCGUGAAAACUUGGGGCUUAACCCCGAGCUUGCGGUCGAUACGGGCAUGACUGGAGUUCGGCAGGGGAGACUGGAAUUCCUGGUGUAGCGGUGAAAUGCGCAGAUAUCAGGAGGAACACCGGUGGCGAAGGCGGGUCUCUGGGCCCGAUACUGACGCUGAGGAGCGAAAGCGUGGGGAGCGAACAGGAUUAGAUACCCUGGUAGUCCACGCCGUAAACGGUGGGCGCUAGGUGUGGGGGCCAUUCCACGGUCUCUGUGCCGCAGCUAACGCAUUAAGCGCCCCGCCUGGGGAGUACGGCCGCAAGGCUA
rnacentral:rRNA from 1 species